GCUGUAUUUCUUUUGGCAGCAAUGCUGGUUUGUGUCAGCUUAAGGUCCUUGUAAAACUACUGCUCCAGACUAAAGAGCCAAAUCUGCCCCAGAAGGAAAUAUGCUGAAGUGAACAUCUCCACCUCUGUGAUGAAUUUAAAAACCGGUGCUCACCUGCUAAUAGCUACUUUGGAGUCCCAGAGACAUAAACACAGUGGCUAAUCUUAUCAAGCUGUGGCAUUUAUGGGAGAAACUGAACAUUUGUAUUUGCAUUGCUGACUCUACAGUUAUAAGAUUCCCCAGGAGAAAGUGAAGAGCAGUGAUCUGGUCUAUGUAAGCCUCAGGCACAACGCGUAAUGCCUGAUUGUUCGGUGCAUCUUUGGGAACACAAAGGAUGUGUGACUUUGGAGACAGAUCCAAACAAAAUGCCUGCCAAGGAGGUAAGGAUGCUUGACUAAAUAGCGGGAGUCAAACACAUCGGCCUGUUGAUAGCACUUGGCUGGGAAUACAACCACUUCACGUAAACAAAAGCAUCAGUGUAAAUGGUCCAAUUUUUGGCUGUGUCGACAAAGAAGAGAAGAUAGGAAGGCAGCCAUUCAGGGCUGAGCAGAAGCCAAAUGCUAGGAUAUCGUAUUUCACCUCCAAGUAAGCAUUUGUGAAAGAAACUUUAGUCACCAAUGCCAAUAGCGGUUUAAAACUUAAAAAUAAAUAAAUUAUGGCAGUGUUUCCAUGCACUAGAAUAUAUGCUGCAAAAAUAUUUAGAUGCUUGUGUUUUCAGUUAAAUCCACACAUUUGCACGUGUGAUUGGAUGAUUCCCUGGUGGUGGAUCGGUUGUUCUGCAGACGUUACUAUCCAAAUUGAGACUAUCAGAAAAAAUAACGAUUCACAUAUUUCUCUUUGAAGAACAAAGGGUUGUUGUUGUUUUUUUUUUUGUCUUUUGUCUGCUUCUUAGUAGGUCAUCUUCGUAUCACUUUUAAACUUUGACAAUGCGCUCUUGUUUUUCAAAACCAAUUGUCAACAAAUUGCCAUCAAAAUAAAUGACAACAGGUCCCAGUAGGAAAGAGCCCAUUGAAGACAUUCUCCGUGUAAAUUCAUUGUCCCCAUGGAUGUCUGUAAAAAUACUGCAUGUGGUACAGUCCAAUGUUUUGAUGACCAGGAUCUGAAUAAUUACAGCAUAUUUCACCAUGAUUCUAAUACAGGUGCUAAAAACGGUUUCUUUGGCUGCAUCAGAACUAAAAGGUUAAAUAAUGUCAUUGGUAAUUUAAAAAAAAAACUUUCACUAGCUUGAGAGGAAAAGCUUUGAAAGCAUUUAUAAGGAAAUCUCAUGGGAUAAAUUACCAAGAAGUAUUCCUAAGUCCUAUCCUAUUCAUUUCAAUGGGACAGAUAUAUCAUCUCAGUAAGAGUUAAUGGAAUCAUUGUGGGUGCCUCUCAUGUGAAUGUACCACAGUGUAAUUCCUCUGAUUUUUUUUAUUUUUUGCACAGAUGCUCUAAAUUUUCCAUCAGAAACUCUGAGGUAAUACAUCUCACUGCCUCUGUCAUUCUUCUAUACCUUUCAGUUAUUCCUUGUCUAAGGAAAAAAUUAAAAAAGCUCAUUGUUGGACAAGGAUAAGAGGUAGAGCGGCAAUAUUGAUGUAGCCACAUCAUUCUCUAUGGAAGUGGUGCCCAUGUAUACGGAUUCCCUCCCUUCAUUGUUCUGGGAGGAUGCUCGGGCUCGCUUUAAAUCAAUAGAGAAGGUAAGCUGAGCAAAGUGCAGGUCUGAAAACAAAUAAAACCUAAUACCUCUAGUCAGCUGAAGGCAUUUGUACAAGCCUGCAAGUGAGGAACUAAGCUGAAGAAAUGACAUCUAGGUGGUCAUAUCAUACUUAAAUUAAUUUUGUCUUCAGGUUCAGUAUGUAGGCUAUUUUUCCUAUUACAUCUCAGAAGAAAAGCUCCAGUCUGAUUUAUUUUUAGAAGACUGGUCCACAUAAGGAAGCCCAGCUGUUAUGCUGUGAACCUUCAUAGCUCUAAGGUGUUUAAGACCUGAUAUUUUGUUAUCUAUUUUUUUCUUUAUACUUUUCUCUCUUCUGAAAGACAGACUGAAUUUUCUCUCAGGUAGCUGAUAGUAAAACUUUGUCUCCAGACAAUUAAGUGCCCACUUGACAGAGAUUUGUUUGCAUUUAUCUAUUGCCGGAGGUUUCUUUAUCAAUAUGUAGUCAAUUUAAGAACUAAAAUUUGGUUCAUGGUUUGUUUUAAAAACAAGAUGAAGAAUCUUAAUCUCUUUUAAACAUCCGUAGUCACUUCAACUAUUUCUAGUUUUCAAGUGAGCUCAUAAAACUUAUUUCCUUUUUCACCAUUUGUGAAGAGCUCUGUCUAUUCCUUCUAGAAAAGCUGUGUGGAUAUUCUUCCUUAACAUUAAUCCAGGAGCUCUCACUUUAAGUUUUCAUGUGACUAUUUCAGCUUUGAUCUGUUCCUGUUUGUUCAGGAUCUUGCACACUUGUGUAAGAAUCCUCUGUUAAUCUCUCUUUUCUUAGAUACGGAAGACAAAUAUGUCCAGCAAUUCUUCAUGAAUCUUGGUUACUAACACACCUUGGGCAGCCCCCUGCUGUACAUUUCGAGUGUCUUCCCAUAAUGAAGUGGCUGAAAUGGAGCACUGUUUUCUAAUGAGACUGGUAGCAUGCCAGAAUAAUUUCUGUAGCUUUUCCCCGCUGCCAGAGCUAUAUUUCAGAAACUUGUUUGCUCUAUUUCAUCUUUGUUAUUGUUAGCAGGAAAGAGUGAUAAUGGUUUACUCCACUAUCCACAGUCCCUUCUAGGUACUCUUAGUAUGAAUUCUAUGUUGUGUUCCUAUUUAGACUGCAAGCCUUAUGCUUAUUCUUCUAGUAAUUGGCUACAUUACUCCACAUUAUGCUGCACUGAAUUUUAUGAACCACUUAUCCACCCAAAGGCCAAUAUGCUUGUGUUAUAAAUAUUCCAUUUCUGCUUAUUCCAAGCAAUGCUGCUAUCACCUGUGUUUAAAUCCUUAAUCUAUUCCAUUCCCAAAACACCUCUGAGAAGGGUGAGCAGCUGCAGUUAAAGCUGAUAUGUAGUCUCAUUGAAGGAGAAAAAAAAAAAAAAAAGUGAUGGAGAAUAAAGAUG
ensembl:lncRNA